UGAGUUUGAUCCUGGCUCAGAGCGAACGCUGGCGGCAGGCCUAACACAUGCAAGUCGAACGAACCCUUCGGGGUUAGUGGCGGACGGGUGAGUAACACGUGGGAACGUACCUUUAGGUUCGGAACAACACAGGGAAACUUGUGCUAAUGCCGAAUGUGCCCUUCGGGGGAAAGAUUUAUCGCCUUUAGAGCGGCCCGCGUCUGAUUAGCUUGUUGGUGAGGUAAAGGCUCACCAAGGCUACGAUCAGUAGCUGGUCUGAGAGGAUGAUCAGCCACACUGGGACUGAGACACGGCCCAGACUCCUACGGGAGGCAGCAGUGGGGAAUCUUGCGCAAUGGGCGAAAGCCUGACGCAGCCAUGCCGCGUGAAUGAUGAAGGUCUUAGGAUUGUAAAAUUCUUUCACCGGGGAAGAUAAUGACGGUACCCGGAGAAGAAGCCCCGGCUAACUUCGUGCCAGCAGCCGCGGUAAUACGAAGGGGGCUAGCGUUGCUCGGAUUUACUGGGCGUAAAGGGCGCGUAGGCGGACGAUUUAGUCAGAGGUGAAAGCCCGGGGCUCAACCCCGGAAUAGCCUUUGAUACUGGUCGUCUUGAGUUUGGGAGAGGUAUGCGGAACUCCGAGUGUAGAGGUGAAAUUCGUAGAUAUUCGGAAGAACACCAGUGGCGAAGGCGGCAUACUGGCC
rnacentral:rRNA from 1 species